GAACUGUGAAGCUGAGCGACAGACACUGCGGGGUCAGAGAGAGCAUUCGGACUGCAUCAGACCCAGAACUGCACCCGUGAACUUUGCAUGGAAAGGUGCACCAGGGGACUGACCGCAAUGCAAGCUGUAGCCAGGAAAGAGUUUCUCUGGCUCCUUUUAGACAACUUGCUCUUUUCCUCAAGGCCACCAGAUGGCGACGCUACAACUCAAAAUGCAAGUUUGAUCCAUGUAUGAAUGGAAACAUUCACAUACAAAGCCAGUUCUCUCCAGCUUGUGGCCGUUAUGCUGCUUGGGGUCUGCAGAUCAACUGGCGGUACACAACGAGAAGACAGUGCAGCUGAGAAGACAGCAACUGUGUAAGCCCAACAGUGCGCCACGGGAGCUGGGCAGGACUAUGUCAGGGCCGGAAGGAUCGGAGUAGACUGUGUAAGAGACUGGAGAGUGAACGAACGACUCAGUGGCCAACGAGUACUUUCAACACUUGUGAGAAGAGAAGAAUCAUCUCUAAUUGAGAGAUGAAUCCUGUGCACAAGGGGAAGCAUUAUUAGCAUAAUGUGUAUCUGCCAUACGUAUGAACUGAAAAAAUACAAGGCCAUGUGAGAUUCUAGCUUUUAACGGUGUUCAGUGAGGAAUAAUAAAGGCACCUACAAUUUGCCAUUUCUCUUCACUUGUUACUGAGCCAUGUAUCCUUGUGACAAUCCAGCAGUCCCGACUAUUAACUCAAAAACUAAGAGCAAAGAAGCUGUUCAUAGCAAAAUAUAGGAACUAUUUCCUGAUAAGUCUAUUUAAGAAUGAUUCUUUGCCCUAUGACUAUACAUACCCAACACCCAACUGUGUCUUCUUGUCCUGAGCACCAAAUUGCAUCUGAUUUGCCUUAAUGGAUAGCAAGGGUUGCAAAGCCUUUUAAAAAUCAAUGGGCAAGAGAGAGUCAAUACAACAGUAAUGUUUGCAUUAGUUCAAUCAAGUCAGCUAAGAGUUGUUUGCCUUUUCACCUUGGAGUCAUUUGAAACAGGCCAAACAUUUGAUUCACAUGGGGUUUAUUAUACUGAGUGGGAUUUUAUGUGUAAUGAACAUCAUAAUAUAAAGCUAUAAGUGCCAAUAAACAUAAUAUAUUGCUAAAAUGAGAAA